GCUUGGAAACUUCCUGUGAUGCUAGACAGAAUGGAUCUCAGUGUUAUUGAGCUCUGGGAGGAACUGUCUAUCUCCAGCUGGUGACUGAUGCCACGAGAUAUGAUGCACUCUCAUUUUGGAAAGGCUCAACUGGUGCUAAAACAGAGAUACUGAAAAUGAAGAAGGACAAAUUGGUAAUAAGAGACACCCCCAUUAUAGACAGAGUACACUUCUUUAUAAACAAUGGGACAUUGAGGUUAAAUAACACACGAAGUACAGAUUCUGGUGAAUACCUGCAGGAAACAUUUAAUUCAGCAGGGGUAGCACAAGGGAGCAGAGGACUACAACUGUUCAUCAAAGCUCCAGUGUCCAGUCCUCAGCUGUCCUCUGAGUGUCUGUCCCAUGGAGAGAUGAAGGUGUCCUGCUCCUCUGAGGGGGAUGGUUCCCAGUACAGCUGGACUCUGAAUGGAAAGACACUGAGAGACACUAAGGCCUCUUCUGAUAACGAGACAAACACCAUCACUCUGAAGAAAGGCCUGUCAGGAAAUCUCACCUGUACCGUCAGAAACUACAUCCGCAGUGAUUCUAUCAGCAAGAGAAUCUCACCUUGUCCAGGAGUCAGUGUGUUUGUUUAUUUCCAACUCGCUGAAGUCUUCAUUCUUCUGACAGUCUGUCUGGGAUCAUACUGUUUCUACAAGAAGGAAACCUAUCAUCAUAAAGAAGAAUGUAUGCAGUCUCAGGUGGAUCAUGGUGGGACUCAGAUGAGGGUGUUAAUGUCCUGAGAGGUGCUAUGGAGACCAACUAGGCUGUGAGAUUACAUGAUGAUGAUUUAAUAUUGCCAAUCAUUGAAAAUAUUUGUUUUCGCUCUUUAAUAAAAGGUUUAAUUAGGCUUUUAUUAUCAUUUAGAAUUUAUACUGAGCUUAUAGUACAGUGUAUUGCAUUGCAGUGUUUUGUUUUAUGUUGCUUGUGACAUACAGUAACCUAAAUGUAUGAUAUUGGGAAGACGUGUUAAAUGGUGAAAGGUAACAAAACGCUUUCCUUCUUAACUUUAUUAUGCUUUAAUAUAGUGUAUUUGUGUGAUUUUGAAUUCAUAGAAAUACAAGCAAGCAACUUUUAAAACAUUCUGGACCUCAUUUUCUAUGAACUAUUACUUUUAAAAAAUCCUGGACAUAAUUUUUCAGAAUCUACCAUUUUUUAAACAUUCUGGACGUCAUUUCUCAUUAUCUACUACUUUUAAAACAUUCUGGACCUCAUUUUAAUAACUUGCCAAAUAAUUAUUACAAAUGAUAACUUUCACAAGCUCUACAUAUUGCUCUGGCUAAACGACACAUAUGUGACUGCUUAAUAAUCAAAAUAAUGAGAAAUGCAUUUUGUGUGUAGUCAUUCAACAGGAGUCAUUUUUAUUUUCAUAGUCUACUGUAGUUGGUACAUAGAGUCUUAACCACAUCCAUCAACAUUAAAUCAUCUGUUGGUUAUUUGAAAAACAGUCAUUGUGUGUCAUUUUCAUUAUCUACUACUUUUUGUUUAAAGCACAACAAACUAAGUCACCAGAUCUGUCUCCUACUUCCUAGAAUGAUGGGCGAUGAGUUAGUCACCUGGAAUGCUUUUCAAUUAACAGGAGUCCCUUGUUAAAAGUUAAUUUGUGGAUUCUUUACCCUUCUUAAUGCGUUUGAGCUAAUCAGUUGUGAUGUGACAAGGUAAGGGUGAUAUACAGAAGAAAGCCCUAUUUGGUAAAAGACCAAGUGCAUAUUAUGGCAAGAACAGCUCAAAUAAGCAAAGAGAAACGACAGUCCAUCAUUACUUUUAGACAUAAAGGUCAGUCAAUGCGGUAAAUUUCAAGAACUUUGAAAGUGAAGUUGCAAAAACCAUCAAGCUCUAUGAUGAAACAAGUUCUCAUGAGGACCACCACAGGAAGAAAGGAAGACCCAGAGUUACCUCUGCUGCAGAGGACACGUUCAUUAGAGUUACCAGUCUCAGAAAAUGCAUCCCAAAUAAAUGUUUCACAGAGUUCAAGUAACAGAAACAUCUCAACAUCAACUGUUCAGAGGAGAAUGCGUGAAUCAGGCCUUCAUGGUCGAAUUGCUGCAAAGACACCAUUAUAAAAGUACACCAAUAAGAAGAAGAGACUUGCUUUGAACAAGAAACACUAGACCAGUGGAAAUCUGCCCUUUGGUCUGAUGAGUCAAAAUGUUAGAUUUUUGGUUCCAACCGCCGUGUCUUUGUGAGACGCAAAGUAGGUGAACGGAUGAUCUCCGCACGUGUUGUUCCCACCGUGAAGGUUGGAGGAGAAGGUGUGAUGGUGCUUUGCUGAUGACACAGUCUGUGAUUUAUGUUGAAUUCAAGGCACACUUAACCAGCAUGGCUUCCACAGCAUUCUGCAGCAAUAUGCCAUCCCAUCUGGUUUGUGCUUAGUGGGAUCAUUUGAUUUUCAACAGGACAAUGACCCAACACACCUUCAGAUUGUGUAAGGGCUAUUUGACCAAGAAGGAGAGUGAUGGGGUGCUGCAUCACUCGACCUUAACCCAUUUGAGAUGUUUUGGGAUGAGUUGGAUCGCAGAGUGAAGGAAAAGCAACCAACACGUUCUAAGCAUAUGUUGGAAUUCCUUCAAGACUGUUGGAAAAGCAUUCCAGGUGAAGCUGGUUGAGAGGAUGCCAAGAGUGUGCAACGCUGUCAUCAAGGCAAAGUCUAGCUACUAUGAAGAAUCUAUAUAUUUUGAUUAGUUUAACAAUUUUUUUGUUACUACAUUAUUCCAGAUGAGUUAUUUCAUAGUUUUGAUGUCUUCACUAUUAUUCUACAAUGUAGAAAACAGUAAAGAUUAAGAAAAACCCUUGAAUGAGUGGGUGUGUCCAAACAUUUGACUGGCACUGUAUGUAGAGUUCAAAAGGUACUUGCACUCAAAACCAUGAAAAGGAAUAACCAAAAAGGAAUAAGCAAAAAUAAUGCACUUAAUUUAAUCAAUGCUCAAAAGAAUACAAAAAGGUGCUAGAAAACAAAAACGGAUUAUACGUUUUGACCUCAUGCCUUCAUCAGUGCUGUACAAACAAAUUAUGAAGACAGCUUAUGUGUGUAACAGGCACAACAGGUGCAAGCAGAUAGUUGAUUAGAUACUGGCGAAAAGGGAGUCAGUGCAUAUUAGCAAGGAAUAUGUAGAAGAAUAUAAAAAAUGGACAAUCAAAUGUCACAUAUAAUUGGAAAGAGACAGCAGUCUGGUCUACAUAACAAUAUCAGAAGCAAUAGACAUGAAAUAAUAAAGUAAGCUAAAAAAACUGAGUGUGCGGGAGGGAGGAACAUUAACUUGAAGGGUAGUCCCUCGAGACAAGGCUAUUCUAGUGUUAUUGUUAAACAUUUGAAAGGAGUAUAUAGUACAGUAUAUUGAAGUGUUUUAUUUUAUGUUGCUUGUGAGAUACAGAAAUGAGUUUGGGAUGGCUUUAAUCAGGGAAACUGUAGCAUAGACACUUCCCUUCUUACUGUAACUUCCAAAGGUAUUUGUGAUUUUGAAUGCAUAGAAAAUAAUAAAAGCAAGUAACCUUUUGAAACAUUCUGGACCUCA
ensembl:lncRNA